CCUGGUCCCAACCCCUGUCCCAGCCCUGCUGUGGUCACAGCAAGGGAUUUGGCUUCUUUUGAUUUUCUUGCCCCAGAGCACGGGCUGUGCCUGUCACCUGUCACCGUGACUCCACAGUAGAGGAACACCUGACUAACAAGGGGACAAUGCCAGCAGAUGGUAGCCCAAGCUAAGCCAAGCCCAUGCUAGCUGCUGGGGCCACCAGUUCUACAAGUGAGCAGGAGUGGUCUGCUCCAGGCUAUUAAAGCAAAAUCACCUCAGACGCUCCUGUAACCCAGACAGGGGAUGACUAAAGGACCUGAAAGCUCAGGGAGGGAGGGACAGGCAGAGACUCCUGCCUCACUGCACCCAGGAAACAGCACGGGGAUCCCCUCCUGCCCAGCACAUCAGCCUCUCUGCUGGGAAACAAAUCGGAAACAGACCCUGUUCCUGCUUCUUCUCUGUUCAGGGUGGGAGGAACAGCAUGGAGCCAAUGCAGGGACAUGGGUGGGGUGACGUGUCCCGAGAGCCAAGGCAGAGCUGAGUCACCCACAGCACCAAGUGACACAUGGCCCAUCCAGCCUGACCAUCUGCUCAGUGCCCUACUUUGGGUGCCAGCUCUGGCUUGCUCUGAGUCCCCCACACGCUGCUCCCUGCACAGCUCCCAAACCUGCAGCUGCCCAGCUGGAAAUGUGCAGCCAGGCUGGUUGCCUGGUACUGGGAUGAGCAGCAUCACAUGGAACAUAAAAACCUCUUGUUUCCCUGGAAUCAACCAGCAAUGUUCCCUGAUCUGAACAACUGAGUUCUCACUGCAGAGGGAGCAACUGUGCUGGAGUGGGCUCUGAGCCCAGCCAAGGUGCAAGGCAAGCACCCUACUAAGCCCACCACCCAUCAGGCAUGACCCUGAGCCCACCUCCCCAUCAGACAUGCCCCUGAGCCCACCACCCAUCAGACACACCCCUGAGCCCACCACCCAUCAGGCAUUCCCCUGAGCCCACCACCCAUCAGACAUUCCCCUGAGCCCAC